AUUGAACGCUGGCGGCAGGCCUAACACAUGCAAGUCGGACGGUAGCACAGAGAGCUUGCUCUCGGGUGACGAGUGGCGGACGGGUGAGUAAUGUCUGGGGAUCUGCCCGAUAGAGGGGGAUAACCACUGGAAACGGUGGCUAAUACCGCAUAACGUCGCAAGACCAAAGAGGGGGACCUUCGGGCCUCUCACUAUCGGAUGAACCCAGAUGGGAUUAGCUAGUAGGCGGGGUAACGGCCCACCUAGGCGACGAUCCCUAGCUGGUCUGAGAGGAUGACCAGCCACACUGGAACUGAGACACGGUCCAGACGCCUACGGGAGGCAGCAGUGGGGAAUAUUGCUCAAUGGGCGCAAGCCUGAUGCAGCCAUGCCGCGUGUAUGAAGAAGGCCUUCGGGUUGUAAAGUACUUUCAGCGGGGAGGAAGGCGAUAAGGUUAAUAACCUUGUCGAUUGACGUUACCCGCAGAAGAAGCACCGGCUAACUUCGUGCCAGCCGCCGCCGUAA
rnacentral:rRNA from 1 species